rnacentral:rRNA from 1 species
UGGUGGGUAGUUUGACUGGGGCGGUCUCCUCCUAAAGAGUAACGGAGGAGCACGAAGGUCAGCUAAUCCUGGUCGGACAUCAGGAGGUUAGUGCAAUGGCAUAAGCUGGCUUGACUGCGAGCGUGACGGCGCGAGCAGGUGCGAAAGCAGGUCAUAGUGAUCCGGUGGUUCUGAAUGGAAGGGCCAUCGCUCAACGGAUAAAAGGUACUCCGGGGAUAACAGGCUGAUACCGCCCAAGAGUUCAUAUCGACGGCGGUGUUUGGCACCUCGAUGUCGGCUCAUCACAUCCUGGGGCUGAAGUAGGUCCCAAGGGUAUGGCUGUUCGCCAUUUAAAGUGGUACGCGAGCUGGGUUUAGAACGUCGUGAGACAGUUCGGUCCCUAUCUGCCGUGGGCGCUGGAGAACUGAGGGGGGCUGCUCCUAGUACGAGAGGACCGGAGUGGACGCAUCACUGGUGUUCGGGUUGUCAUGCCAAUGGCACUGCCCGGUAGCUAAAUGCGGAAGAGAUAAGUGCUGAAAGCAUCUAAGCACGAAACUUGCCCCGAGAUGAGUUCUCCCUGACUC